rnacentral:rRNA from 1 species
AACUGUUUUAAAAGUAUGGUUCUGCUAUCACUCUUGGGAUGGGACCUGCGGUGCAUUAGCUAGUUGGUAGGGUAACGGGUCUACCAAGGCGAUGAUGCAUAGCCGAGUUGAGAGACUGAUCGGCCACAUUGGGACUGAGACACGGCCCAAACUCCUACGGGAGGGCAGCAGUAGGGAAUCUUCCACAAUGGACGCAAGUCUGAUGGAGCAACGCCGCGUGAGUGAAGAAGGGUUUCGGCUCGUAAAGCUCUGUUGUUGGUGAAGAAGGACAGGGGUAGUAACUGACCUUUGUUUGACGGUAAUCAAUUAGAAAGUCACGGCUAACUACGUGCCAGCAGCCGCGGUAAU